CUACGGGGGGCUCCAGUGGGGAAUAUUGCACAAUGGGCGCAAGCCUGAUGCAGCCAUGCCGCGUGUAUGAAGAAGGCCUUCGGGUUGUAAAGUACUUUCAGCGGGGAGGAAGGGAGUAAAGUUAAUACCUUUGCUCAUUGACGUUACCCGCAGAAGAAGCACCGGCUAACUCCGUGCCAGCAGCCGCGGUAAUACGGAGGGUGCAAGCGUUAAUCGGAAUUACUGGGCGUAAAGCGACGCAGGCGGUUUGUUAAGUCAGAUGUGAAAUCCCCGGGCUCAACCUGGGAACUGCAUCUGAUACUGGCAAGCUUGAGUCUCGUAGAGGGGGGUAGAAUUCCAGGUGUAGCGGUGAAAUGCGUAGAGAUCUGGAGGAAUACCGGUGGCGAAGGCGGCCCCCUGGACGAAGACUGACGCUCAGGUGCGAAAGCGUGGGGAGCAAACAGGAUUAGAUACCCCAGUAGUC
rnacentral:rRNA from 1 species